rnacentral:rRNA from 1 species
ACGGGAGGCAGCAGUGAGGAAUAUUGGUCAAUGGAGGCAACUCUGAACCAGCCAUCUCGCGUGAAGGAAUACGGCCCUACGGGUCUUAAACUUCUUUUAUAGGGGGAUAAAGUGAGAUAUGUAUAUCUUUUUGUAGGUACCCUAUGAAUAAGCAUCGGCUAACUCCGUGCCAGCAGCCGCGGUAAUACGGAGGAUGCGAGCGUUAUCCGGAUUUAUUGGGUUUAAAGGGUGCGUAGGCGGACUGUUAAGUCAGUGGUGAAAGGUCCCGGCUCAACCGGGGAGCUGCCAUUGAUACUGGCUGUCUGGAAUGCGGAUGCCGUGGGAGGAAUGUGUAGUGUAGCGGUGAAAUGCAUAGAUAUUACACAGAACACCGAUUGCGAAGGCAUCUCACGAAUCCGUUAUUGACGCUGAGGCACGAAAGCGUGGGGAUCAAACAGGAUUAGAUACCCUGGUA